rnacentral:rRNA from 1 species
UAGGCGUAAAUGAUGCGAGUUAAGUGUGGGGGCAUCUACGAGAUGGCCCUGUGCUGUAGGGUAGCCGUUAAACUCGCUGCCUGGGGAGUACGGUCGCAAGGCUGAAACUUAAAGGAAUUGGCGGGGGGAGGCACCACAAGAGGUGGAGGCUGCGGUUCAAUUGGACUCAACGCCGGAAACUCAUCGGGAGCGACAGCAGUAUGAUUGCCAGGUUGAUGACCUUGCUUGACAAGCUGAGAGGAGGUGCAUGGCGUAGUCGUGU